rnacentral:rRNA from 1 species
AAGAGGCCCAAGGGACUGUUUACUAAAAACACAGGUCUCUGCUAACUCGAAAGAGGAUGUAUAGGGACUGAAGUCUGAUCAGUGCUGGAAGGUUAAGGGGAAGGCUGCAAGGCUCGAACCGAAGCCCCAGUUAACAUCGGCUCUAACUAUAAGAGUCCUAAGGUAGCGAAGUUCCUUGUCGGGUAAGUUCCGACGCGCAUCAAUGACGCAACCACUUGGGCACUGUCUCAACGAGGGACUCGGUGAAAUUGUACUAUCGGUGAAGAUACCGAUUAUCUGCGGCAGGACGGAAAGACCCCGGGACCUUUACUGUAGUCUGGCAUUGGGUCCUGAUGUGGUCUAUAUAGAAUAGGUGGGAGGCUUAGAAGGGAGGACGCUAGUCUUCCUGGAGCCAUCAGUGGAAUACCACCUUGAUUACGUUAAGAUUCUAACCUGCAUCCGUUAUCCGGAUGAGGAACAGUGCUUGAUGGGCAGUUUGACUGGGGCGGUUGCCUCCUAAAAAGUAACGGAGGCGUCCAAAGGUUCCCUCAACGCGUAUAGAAAUCGCGGGUAGAGUAUAAAGGCAUAAGGGAGCUUAACUGCGAGAGAGACAUUUCGAGCAGAUGCGAAAGCAGGGCUUAGUGAUCCUGCGGUCCCGUGUGAGAGGGCCGUGGCUUAACGGCUAAAAGGUACCCCGGGGAUAACAGGCUUAUCUCCUCCGAGAGUUCCUAUCGACGAGGAGGUUUGGCACCUCGAUGUCGGCUCGUCGCAUCCUGGGGGGGUAGCCCCUCCCAAGGGUUAGUCUGUUCGCCUAUUAAAGCGGCACGCGAGCUGGGUUUAAACCGUCGUAAGACAGGUUGGUCC